rnacentral:rRNA from 1 species
CUGGUGGCGAGUGGCGAACGGGUGAGUAAUACAUCGGAACGUGCCUAGUAGUGGGGGAUAACUACUCGAAAGAGUGGCUAAUACCGCAUGAGAUCUACGGAUGAAAGCAGGGGAUCGCAAGACCUUGUGCUACUAGAGCGGCUGAUGGCAGAUUAGGUAGUUGGUGGGAUAAAAGCUUACCAAGCCGACGAUCUGUAGCUGGUCUGAGAGGACGAUCAGCCACACUGGGACUGAGACACGGCCCAGACUCCUACGGGAGGCAGCAGUGGGGAAUUUUGGACAAUGGGCGCAAGCCUGAUCCAGCAAUGCCGCGUGCAGGAUGAAGGCCUUCGGGUUGUAAACUGCUUUUGUACGGAACGAAAAGCUUCGGGCUAAUACCCUGGAGUCAUGACGGUACCGUAAGAAUAANCACCGGCUAA